ACAGACGUCAUAAAAGAUCAAAUGUAGUAUCUGUUCUUAUCAGUUUAAUAUCUGUUACGUCCUCUAUCCGAGGACAAUAUAUUAAAUGGAUUUUUGGAACAGGGAGAUGGAAUAGGGGAUUGCUCCGUCCACUCCACCCAUCGACCUGGUAUUGCAGUACUUCACCUGUAUAUAUGUUUGUACG